AGCGGACUUGACGGAAGCUUGCUUCCGUUCAAGUUAGCGGCGGACGGGUGAGUAACACGUGGGUAACCUGCCUGUAAGACUGGGAUAACUCCGGGAAACCGGGGCUAAUACCGGAUAUUCUUUUUCUUCGCAUGAAGAAGAAUGGAAAGGCGGCUUUUAGCUGUCGCUUACAGAUGGACCCGCGGCGCAUUAGCUAGUUGGUGAGGUAACGGCUCACCAAGGCAACGAUGCGUAGCCGACCUGAGAGGGUGAUCGGCCACACUGGGACUGAGACACGGCCCAGACUCCUACGGGAGGCAGCAGUAGGGAAUCUUCCGCAAUGGACGAAAGUCUGACGGAGCAACGCCGCGUGAGUGAAGAAGGUUUUCGGAUCGUAAAGCUCUGUUGUCAGGGAAGAACAAGUACGGAAGUAACUGUCCGUACCUUGACGGUACCUGACCAGAAAGCCACGGCUAACUACGUGCCAGCAGCCGCGGUAAUACGUAUGUGGCAAGCGUUGUCCGGAAUUAUUGGGCGUAAAGCGCGCGCAGGCGGCUUCUUAGUCUGAUGUGAAAGCCCACGGCUCAACCGUGGAGGGUCAUUGGAAACUGGGAGGCUU
rnacentral:rRNA from 1 species